AAGGCUAGAAGUGGUUUAUUUCACUUUAUUUAAAUUACUAAAUAGGUGGCCACCUUCGUAGAAUAUAAGCAGCAACCUUUUAGGUUUUUAAUUUGGUUUUAAUCACCUUCCAACUGUAUAACUGCUAACUAUAAAUCUACUGUUUACGCAUGCGCAGUGAGAGCCGUACCUCCAGUUUCAGUGACGUUUACAGGUGUGACAGCAGCUGCAGAGUUACUCCCUUGGUUUGGUGAAGGCGGGAUGUUUUCUCAUUAAAAUCGACCAGGAAAAGUCAGCAAGGACGACACCAGAUUACUGAGAUUUCAGAUUACAGUUAUGAAGACCACUACGGCUGUCUCUGAUCCUCAGCCCUGAAAGAGCUAAAGACAGGAAAACAGAGAUAGAAAAGGAUGGCAAGCAGGCCCACCGGCUGCUAACAAACUGGGCUGCUAUGGUAAGGAGCCAUGAGUCAGCAGUCCCUUGACACUGCCUUCACACUUUCACCAACCUCAACAACCUCCACCACCACAAAACGAUGUUCCUCUAACAAAAGAUAACAAAGAAGAAGGUCCACAACAACAGCAGAGCUGCAGAGCAUAUAAUUGAUGAUGACUCAUCCAGACCUUUGCUUAUUUCGUAUGCAGAAGACGAAGAGAGGAGGAAGAAAGAGAGAUAGGAAUUAGUGAUGUGUUCUUUGUGUGUGUGUGUGUGUGUG